rnacentral:miRNA from 1 species
UAUUGCACAUUACCAAGUUGCA